CCCAAGGAAGCAGGAAGAAGUUUGACAUGGCAUGUAUGGUCCAUUAGGCAACUGGCAAUGCUCAUAAGAAAGGAAGACCUGCACAUCGAGUCCGUUGCAUUGACCCAACUCGAACACUUGCUUGAAUUUGAAAAUAACGAAGUAGGACUCUUAAGACGGUAGCCCAGUGAAGAAUUCACUUACCAGGGCUUUCCUCACGAAGUUCUAUUUAGUCUGGGUUGUUGACAGUUUGCAGCGCGUCGUCCUCCAUCUACCAGCAAUCAGACUGGUGGCCAGCAUGAGGAAGAUGUGCCAAGCUGUUGUGGCUACAUAUGGAUCUUCCACACUCUGCUGAG